UCUAGUGGCGCACGGGUGCGUAACGCGUGGGAAUCUGCCCUUGGGUUCGGGAUAACAGUUGGAAACGACUGCUAAUACCGGAUGAUGUCUUCGGACCAAAGAUUUAUCGCCCAAGGAUGAGCCCGCGUAGGAUUAGCUUGUUGGUGAGGUAAGAGCUCACCAAGGCGACGAUCCUUAGCUGGUCUGAGAGGAUGACCCCCCACACUGGUACUGAGACACGGACCAGACUCCUACGGGAGGCAGCAGUAAGGAAUAUUGGUCAAUGGAGGCAACUCUGAACCAGCCAUGCCGCGUGCAGGAAGACGGCCCUAUGGGUUGUAAACUGCUUUUAUUCGGGAAUAAACCCUUUUACGUGUAAGAGGUUGAAUGUACCGAAAGAAUAAGGAUCGGCUAACUCCGUGCCAGCAGCCGCGGUAAUACGGAGGAUCCAAGCGUUAUCCGGAUUUAUUGGGUUUAAAGGGUGCGUAGGCGG
rnacentral:rRNA from 1 species